AUCUAAAUAGUUUAUUUAAAAUAUUGAUUUGUGGUGUCAAUGAAAUGAGGCGGUUUCAUCUUAGAUC
rnacentral:tRNA from 1 species